rnacentral:lncRNA from 1 species
CAAUAGAUGCUGCCCAGGCAAGCGGCAGUGACCCUCCUUCUAGAGCGAAUAGAGAAAGGCCACAGUCUGAAUGGUCUUGCCGAGGCCCAUCUCAUCGGCUAGAAUGGUGUCGAUGGCCUGUCGAGGCUCUUCAGGUACUUUAUCCGAUUUUGAGAUAUUUUAAUUAGUAUUGAUUCAAGUUCAUCCCACCGUAGUGUGACCGAUGAAAACAGCGCUGGCGCAGCACAGCUCAUUGAUCAGACGAUGAACAUUAGACAGCAGAUUGCAGCUCCAGCUCGAAAACAUCAUCACAUCCGUUCUUGUGAACUCCUCUCUCGAGUUCGAAGUAUCGGCAUUGUGGAUGGUUCAGCAGAACAGCAGGUUCAGGACAGCCCAAUCGUUGCUGCCCAGGCAAGCGGCAGUGACCCUCCUUCUAGAGCGAAUAGAGAAAGGCCACAGUCUGAAUGGUCUUGCCGAGGCCCAUCUCAUCGGCUAGAAUGGUGUCGAUGGCCUGUCGAGGCUCUUCAGGUACUUUAUCC